UACAGAGGUCUCAAGCGUUGUUCGGAUUCAUUGGGCGUAAAGGGUGCGUAGGCGGCGCGGUAAGUCGGGUGUGAAAUCUCGGAGCUUAACUCCGAAACUGCAUUCGAUACUGCCGUGCUUGAGGACUGGAGAGGAGACUGGAAUUUACGGUGUAGCGGUGAAAUGCGUAGAUAUCGUAAGGAAGACCAGUGGCGAAGGCGGGGUCUCUGGACAGUUCCUGACGCUGAGGCACGAAGGCCAAGGGAGCAAACGGGG
rnacentral:rRNA from 1 species